UUGCCCUAGUAACGGCGAGUGAAGCGGCAACAGCUCAAAUUUGAAAUCUGGCGCAAGCCCGAGUUGUAAUUUGUAGAGGAUGUUUCUGGCGACGCGCCUUCCGAGUUCCCUGGAACGGGACGCCAUAGAGGGUGAGAGCCCCGUACGGUUGGAUGCCUAGCCUCUGUGAAACUCCUUCGACGAGUCGAGUAGUUUGGGAAUGCUGCUCUAAAUGGGAGGUAUACGUCUUCUAAAGCUAAAUACCGGCCAGAGACCGAUAGCGCACAAGUAGAGUGAUCGAAAGAUGAAAAGCACUUUGAAAAGAGGGUUAAAAAGUACGUGAAAUUGUUGAAAGGGAAGCGUUCAUGACCAGACUUGGGCAGGUUGAUCAUCCGUGGUUCUCCGCGGUGCACUCUGCCUGCCCAGGCCAGCAUCAGUUCGCCCCGGGGGAUAAAGGCUUUGGGAAUGUGGCUCCCUCGGGAGUGUUAUAGCCCACUGCGUAAUACCCUGGGGUGGACUGAGGUUCGCGCUCUGCAAGGAUGCUGGCGUAAUGGUCAUCAACGACCCGUCUUGAAACACGGACCAAGGAGUCGUCUUCGUAUGCGAGUGUUCGGGUGUCAAACCCCUACGCGUAAUGAAAGUGAACGUAGGAGAGAGCUUCGGCGCAUCUCCGACCGAUCCUGAUGUUCUCGGAUGGAUUUGAGUAAGAGCAUACGGGGCCGGACCCGAAAGAAGGUGAACUAUGCCUGUAUAGGGUGAAGCCAGAGGAAACUCUGGUGGAGGCUCGCAGCGGUUCUGACGUGCAAAUCGAUCGUCAAAUAUGGGCAUGGGGGCGAAAGACUAAUCG
rnacentral:rRNA from 1 species